ACAUAGCGACUAUCGUGGCAUAUCAAUAAGCGGAGGAAAAGAAACUAACAAGGAUUCCCUUAGUAACGGCGAGUGAAGCGGGAAGAGCUCAAAUUUGAAAUCUUCAAGGUUCUACCUUGACGAAUUGUAGUUUAUAGAAGUGUUUUCUGUUAGUGGAGUGGCAAAAGUUCUUUGGAAUAGGACAUCAUAGAGGGUGAGAAUCCCGUAUUUGGUCAUUCCUCCUAGCGUUGUGAUACACUUUCAACGAGUCGGAUUGUUUGGGAAUGCAGUCCAAAAUGGGUGGUAAAUUUCAUCUAAAGCUAAAUAUUGGCGAGAGACCGAUAGCGAACAAGUACCGUGAGGGAAAGAUGAAAAGAACUUUGAAAAGAGAGUUAAACAGUACGUGAAAUUGUCAAAAGGGAAGCGUUUGACACCAGUGUUGUUUUUCCGAAAAUCAAUUACGAAUGUUUUGUUUUUGAGGAGUUAUGACUUCAUCGGCUUGCUUCCUUUCUUUACGAAACUUUCUUAAUGCACUUUUCGGUUAACAAGUCAACAUCAAUUUCUUUUGUUGUAAAAGGGUAUGAGGAAGGUGGCCUUCUUUUCGGAGAAAGUGUUUAUAGCCUUGUGCCUCUGCAAUCGGAGAGAUUGAGGUCUGCAGCGUAGAUCCUUCGGGGUUAGAUACGUUUGUGCUAAGUUAUAGCUUUUCAUAGACAACUUGUUGACUAUGUUUAGUCUUGUAGCUUACUCGCUUAUGCUAUUUUACCUACGCUUAGGAUGUUGAUAUGCAUGACUGAUAU
rnacentral:rRNA from 1 species